rnacentral:lncRNA from 1 species
ACGGGGCUUGGAGCUACCUGGGAUAGUGGAAGGUGUCCCUCCCAAUGGCAGGGGGUGGAAAAAGAUGAGCUUUAAGGUCCCUUCCAACCCAAACAGGCCUGCAAUUCUGUGAUUCUGCAGGCAGCACACCCAGCUGGGGUUUAGCUCGGCCCAAGCCAGCGGCAGCUUUGCUGGUCUGUGUUGGAGCUUUCCAGCUGGGACAGCAGCAGCUCCUGGGGCAGAAGAGGCACAGCAGAACCCCCAUCUCUGCUGCUGGGGGUUUAUCAGCUAGCAUAAAACUGCAGCCCCGUUCUGGUGCAGGCAGCCAGCGGGUAAGUGCUGCAGAAGCUCCCCAAGCAAGUGCAUCUCCUCCGUGUGUAGGAGUAGCUGCUGACUGGGAGCAGCCCCAUUUCCAAGAACUCCCCAAAGUUACAAUCCUUCACGUCUUGCUGAAUCAGUGCAAGAUCCAGAGCAGCUCAGGGAAACAAAGAUCCAGGUCUCUGCAGCUGUGAAUCAGUGCUGAACACGAGUAUCUCCAUCCCCUCCUCCUGGAGAUGCUGUCUGUGACUCCUGCACGCACGCCUGGCCCUAAUGAAAGGCCCCGGUGCCUCCCCAUCGCCCAGCCAGUUAAACCUGCACAAACUGAGCCCAUCACACACAAAAAGCCUCUCCUGGGUAUCCCCCAGGGUUCAGCCCUGCUCCCUUUCUACAUGGCCUCUCCAUGCUGCAAGAAGAGCUUUCUUCAAGCUCACAGUGUGCCCAGCACAGCAUCCCAGGGAACCCUGCCACCAAAUCCCAGUGAAUCCUGCCAGAGCAUCCCAGUGAAUGCUGCCACCAAAUCCCAGUGAACCCUGCAGCUGCAUCCCAGUGAAUCCUGCCAGAGCAUCCCAGUGAAUGCUGCCACCAAAUCCCAGUGAAUCCUGCAGCUGCAUCCCAGAGAAUGCUGCCAGAGCAUCCCAGUGAACCCUGCCAUGGCAUCCUGGCGAUCCCUGGCACACCAUCCUGGCUAUCCCUGGCACAGAAUCCCAGCCAACCCUGCCAUGGCAUCCUGGCUAUCCCCAGAACACCAUCCAGUUGCCCCUGCCAGCUCCCAGCUGGGAUCAUCACCCACCCAGAGUGUGGCAGUGCCAUUUCACACUGUGGCAGUGCCAUUUCACCCACCCAGAGUG